GACAUGGUGCUUCUGACUGUUAGUCCUGGUGGUGAGCUGUUAGGCUGUGGCUUUUAUGGUUUAUUCUAAAGAACAAAGAACUUCCUUUACCCAAACUGAAAGCUCAAAAGGAAAAGGGCUUCUUUCUCCUGCUGAAUGCAUGUACAACAACUUUGAUGGAGAAUGUGUUUCUUUGUAGAAUUUACCGGGCAUGGAAAGAGGCAAACUCAUCAGAGGCCAUCAACAAGUCCUGCAGUUCAGUGAGGGAAACUAUAUUUCCCUUCAUGUGGCAAAGCUCUGAGGUGAUGAAUGCCCUUCAAGGUGAGUGCUUCUAAUUCACAAGCUCACUUUCAUCAUCUUCAAGGACUUUCAGCUGUCCUUUGUCAUUGCAAACCAAGCAGGUGGAGGUGGAGGUGCUAGGGCAGGAGGAAAGGCAAAGCUUAACCUUGCACAUAUGUAACCUAGAAAUAACUUUUUUAAAAAUCAAAACAGAUGCAUACCUUUUGAAACUACAGUUAAAGUGGAUAAAGGACUUUUUACAAAUUAUAUAUAUUUUGCUGGCUGCUGCAGAUGGAAGCUGAAAGAGAAAAGUAAAUAAUGCUUGAUAAUAGAAAAAAAAAAUCUAUAUUCCAUGCAAAGAAGGUGUCUGAAGGAAGCAGGGGGCAUCACACUGGUAACAACAAAGCAGAGUUAAGACCUGCCUAUAAGGAUCAAAGGAAAGAUCCCAAUUCUAAGUUCCCCUGUUGGAGAAUGUAUAGAGGGUUUCUGAACUCCACUCUCACCUGUAUAUGAGCAGGGUGAGCAUGUGGUGCAGAGCUGCUGGCACCAGUCUGAAGCAGCCCUGGUCCCUUCUACAUCAGAUUCUUUGAACUGCCUCGGAAGGGAGGUAGGAGACCAGAUUAUGGCUGACUGAUAUUGAACUACAGAUGAUUAAGGAAAGGAAGUUUGUGAGAUCAUACUUAGUGGAUGCGCAUGCAUGCACAUUCCCAUGUGUAACUUUCUCUUCUAUGGCUUGGCUUCAUAUAAAUCUGAAAUUGCAAAGAAGAAGCUCCCAGAACUUAUUAAUGAGCAUAAUAACAGAGGAGGAAGUGUCCCUUCUGAAGGAAAAAUUCCAGUUCCUCACAUACUCACAUCUCAAGGCCUUACCUACCAAACAAUCUGCACAGGAAGAAAACUGUAGCAGUGCUGCAAUAAAGGACAGAACCCUUGGAACCUCUAGACCCUUUUGGACACUAGAGAAGUUACUCCAGCUGUAAGGCAGUCAGAAAUGUCUCUUGUGGCUCUACUGUUCCAUACAGAACAAUCUGCUUUCCUCUGCAAAAUAGGAAAUGUACCAGAACAGAAAAAAUCUGUGAAUGUUUCAGUUCUUUUGCUCUCCUCCAAUGUCCUUUAUUGCACAGCAGCAGCUCAGCAGCAUCUCCAUGGAGGAUUGUCAUGGCAUGAAAACAUUCCAUUAUGAGAACAGUAAGUCAUGCUUGUACACUGGCCAAAAAUGGUGAGAUUUGUUCUCUCCAGAGAUUUCAUUAUGCUGUCUAAUAUGUUAAAUAAUUGCCCCAAACCUACUGGAAUCACAACUUGUUUCUUCUUAGUUUUUAUUUUUUUUUUUUUGACAGUGAAUUUGUAUACAUCCUCUCCUCCAUGCUUUCAGGUGCCUUCACUUUAACACCUCCAAACUCUGAAAAAUUAGACCAGUGUUUCCAUAGCAGCUUUAACUCUAAUCCUUAUUUGCAUUACAAUAAAAUUAUU